rnacentral:pre_miRNA from 1 species
UAUAAUUUUUGACUCUUCGUCUUAUUUAAAAUUUUUUUAUAAUUGAUAUUUUUGUUUUUAUUAGAUAAUAAAUUAUAAAUAGUAUUUUAUGUGUGACUAUUUUUUUUCUAAUUUUUCUGAAAUUUUUUUAAAUAAGAUGGAUGGUUAAACGUUGGACACGAAAGCC